CAGCAGCCGCGGUAAUGCGUAGGGUGCAAGCGUUAAUCGGAAUUACUGGGCGUAAAGCGUGCGCAGGCGGUUUGUUAAGACAGAUGUGAAAUCCCCGGGCUCAACCUGGGAACUGCAUUUGUGACUGGCAAGCUAGAGUGUGGCAGAGGGGGGUGGAAUUCCGCGUGUAGCAGUGAAAUGCGUAGAUAUGCGGAGGAACACCGAUGGCGAAGGCAGCCCCCUGGGCCAACACUGACGCUCAUGCACGAAAGCGUGGGGAGCAAACAGGAUUAGAUACCCCGGUAGUCCCUGUCUCUUAUAC
rnacentral:rRNA from 1 species